AUGGGCAUUGCCUGCUUCUCCAUCGUGGCCACGCACCCACAUGAGUGUCUCAACCAUCUCAUCCUGGUCUACUCGCUGCUGCUCAUCCUGCAGCACAUCACCCAGAACCUCAUCAUCAUCGAGGCCAGAGCGGAGCGAUGGGCAUCUCUCAUCUCUAGGGACAACUAGCACAAGUGUGGCAAGCCUGGGGGCAAGAGAAAGCCCUACCACAAGAAACAGAAGUAUGAGUUGGGGCACCUGGCUGCCAACACCAAGACUGGCCCCCGCCACAUCCACACAGUCUGUGUGUGGUGUGGUAACAAGAAAUACUGUGCCCUGAGACUGGACGUGGGGAAUUUCUCCUGGGGCUCAGACUGUUGUACUCGGAAAACAAGAAUUAUUGAUGUUGUCUAUAAUGCGUCUAAUAACGAGCCGGUCGGUACCAAAACCUUGGUGAAGAAUUGCAUCGUGCUCAUCGACAGCACACCGUACCAACAGUGGUACAAGUCCCACUAUGCACUGCCCCUGGGCAGCAAGAAGGGAGCCAAGCUGACUCCUGAGGAAGAAGAGAUUUUAAACAAAAAAUGAUCUAAAAAUUUCAGAAGAAAUACGACAAAAGGAAAAAGAAUGCCAAAAUCAGUCUCCUGGAGGAGCAGUUCCAGCAGGAAAAGCGUCUUGCGAGCAUCGCUUCAAGGCGGGGACAUUGUGGCUGAGCAGAUGGCUAUGUGCUAGAGGGCAAAGAGUUGGAGUUCUAUCUUAGGAAAAUCAAGGUUCGGAAAGGCAAAAAAAUCCUUGUUUUCUGUCUUCACCCAUGUAAUAAAGGUGUUUAUUGUUCUGUUCACCAAAAAAAAAAAAAAAACGCUUUUUUGUUUGUUUGUUUUUUUGUUUUAGUUCAAUCUGGUUUCACUGAAAACUUGCAUGGAGACUAUAGGUGUUCCAACGGUGCCUCUCUUUUGGUAAAUCUGAACAUUUCGACAGACAUUCAAGCAGCUUUUUCGGUAAAAAGAUUUUUACAUGACUACCAUUGCUGUUCCUAUGAUCAUCUGCAGGCUUGUUUUGGCAGCCAUGUCCCCUCCAACCGCCACAUCCUCCUCCUCCUGGCAACCCGGACCCUGAGCACUCAUCUCCUACCGCCGCUGGCCCAGCCAGCCUCUGUCCCCUGGGCGCAACUCUGUAAUGAGUGA